AGUGAACGCUGGCGGUAGGCCUAACACAUGCCAGUCGAACGGCAGCACAUUAAGCGCUUGCUCUUACGGUUGGCGACUGGCGAACGGGUGAGGAAUACAGCGGAAUCUACUUUUUCGUGGGGGAUAAAGUAGGGGAACUUACGCUAAUACCGCAUAUGACCUGCGGGUGAAAGCAGUGGAUUUUCGGACCUUGCUCGAUGAAGUGAGACGUUACCGGAUUAGUGAGCUGGCGGGGUAAAGGCCCGCCAAGGCGACGAUCCGUAGCUGGUCUGAGAGGAUGAUCAGCGACACUGGGACUGAGACACGGUCCAGACUCCUACGGGAGGCAGCAGUGGGGAAUAUUGGGCAAUGGGCGCAAGCCUGAUCCAGCCAUACCGCGUGGGUGAAGAAGGCCUUCGCGUGGUAAAGCACUUUUGUUGGGAAAGAAAAGCAGCAGGUUAAUACCCCGAUGUUCUGACGGUACCCAAAGAAUAAGCACCGGCUAACUUCGUG
rnacentral:rRNA from 1 species